rnacentral:lncRNA from 10 species
GCCCGCGCGUGUGUACGUGCGCCGGAGGCCUGGAGAGACCGGAGUUUAACGCCCAGUGAUUCCGCCAUGGGCAUCUUGAAAGGCUCUCCAAAGGGAAGGAACAUGAUCCAUGACUAGAUCCAGUUUUGAAAUGACCGAGGAGCAAAGAAUUUUAGGGGAAAACACUGAGAAGCAGCCUUAAGGAACAACACAGUGGUGAUAUCAAGGGACUUGAAAUUAUGUCACGUGCUAUCGGCAACCAAUAUAUGAUGUUUGGAUUGAGAACUAUGAUCAAAGUGAAGCAGUGGAACUUUGCAGUUAAUCAAACAGGAAUUUUGAACCAAAAACCCACAAAUGUGUUUCAACACACUUGAGCUACGUAAUCUUGGGUUUACAGAUGAGAACAUUGAAAUUUGAAAGGAGUGAGAAACAAAUGCAUACCCAGACGGCUCCUCUCAACAGCAG